rnacentral:rRNA from 1 species
AGUGAACGCUGGCGGUAGGCCUAACACAUGCAAGUCGAACGGCAGCACAGUAAGAGCUUGCUCUUACGGGUGGCGAGUGGCGGACGGGUGAGGAAUACAUCGGAAUCUACUUUUUCGUGGGGGAUAACGUAGGGAAACUUACGCUAAUACCGCAUACGACCUACGGGUGAAAGCAGGGGAUCUUCGGACCUUGCGCGAUUGAAUGAGCCGAUGUCGGAUUAGCUAGUUGGCGGGGUAAAGGCCCUCCAAGGCGACGAUCCGUAGCUGGUCUGAGAGGAUGAUCAGCCACACUGGAACUGAGACACGGUCCAGACUCCUACGGGAGGCAGCAGUGGGGAAUAUUGGACAAUGGGCGCAAGCCUGCUCCAGCCAUACCGCGUGGGUGAAGAAGGCCUUCGGGUUGUAAAGCCCUUUUGUUGGGAAAGAAAAGCAGCAGGUUAAUACCCCGCUGUUCUGACGGUACCCAAAGAAUAAGCACCGGCUAACUUCGUG